rnacentral:rRNA from 1 species
AUCUACAGCCAUGCUAUCCUGAAUAAACCUGAUCCUGUCUGAUCUCGGAAACUAAGCAGGGUCGGGCCUGGUUAGUACUUGGAUGGGAGACCACCUAGGAAGAUCAGGUGCUGUAGGCA